rnacentral:rRNA from 1 species
CUGGCUCAGAUUGAACGCUGGCGGCAUGCCUUACACAUGCAAGUCGAACGGCAGCACGGGCUUCGGCCUGGUGGCGAGUGGCGAACGGGUGAGUAAUACAUCGGAACGUGCCCUGUAGUGGGGGAUAACUAGUCGAAAGAUUAGCUAAUACCGCAUACGACCUGAGGGUGAAAGCGGGGGACCGUAAGGCCUCGCGCUACAGGAGCGGCCGAUGUCUGAUUAGCUAGUUGGUGGGGUAAAAGCCUACCAAGGCGACGAUCAGUAGCUGGUCUGAGAGGACGAUCAGCCACACUGGGACUGAGACACGGCCCAGACUCCUACGGGAGGCAGCAGUGGGGAAUUUUGGACAAUGGGGGCAACCCUGAUCCAGCAAUGCCGCGUGUGUGAAGAAGGCCUUCGGGUUGUAAAGCACUUUUGUCCGGAAAGAAAUGGCUCUGGUUAAUACCCGGGGUCGAUGACGGUACCGGAAGAAUAAGCACCGGCUAACUACGUGCCAGCAGCCGCGGUAAUACGUAGGGUGCGAGCGUUAAUCGGAAUUACUGGGCGUAAAGCGUGCGCAGGCGGUUUUGUAAGACAGGCGUGAAAUCCCCGAGCUCAACUUGGGAAUGGCGCUUGUGACUGCAAGGCUAGAGUAUGUCAGAGGGGGGUAGAAUUCCACGUGUAGCAGUGAAAUGCGUAGAGAUGUGGAGGAAUACCGAUGGCGAAGGCAGCCCCCUGGGACGUCACUGACGCUCAUGCACGAAAGCGUGGGGAGCAAACAGGAUUAGAUACCCUGGUAGUCCACGCCCUAAACGAUGUCAACUAGUUGUUGGGGAUUCAUUUCUUCAGUAACGUAGCUAACGCGUGAAGUUGACCGCCUGGGGAGUACGGUCGCAAGAU